UAACAAAAACAUGUCUUUUUGAAUUUAAAUAUAAAGUCUAAUCUGCCCACUGAUAAAUUAUUUAAUGGCCGCAGUAUUUUAACUGUGCAAAGGUAGCAUAAUAAUUAGUUUUUUAAUUGAAGACUUGUAUGAAUGAUUGGACGAGAUAUAAGCUGUCUCAUAAAAAUUUUUUAGAAUUUAAUUUUUUAGUUAAAAAGCUAAAAUAAAUUUAAAAGACGAGAAGACCCCGUAGAUCUUUAUAUUUUUAUUAUUAUCAUUUUUUAGUUUUUUUAUUAAAUCAAUAAUUAAAAAUAUUUUGUUGGGGUGACAUUGAAAUUUAAUAAACUUUCAACUUUUAGUAACAUUGAUUUAUGAAUUUAUGAUCCUUUAUUAUUGAUUAAAAUUUUAAGUUACCUCGGGGAUAACAGCGUAAUUAUUUUGGAGAGUUCAUAUCGAUAAAAUAGAUUGCGACCUCGAUGUUGGAUUAAGAUUAAUUUUGGGUGUAGCAGUUCAAUUUAUUAAGUCUGUUCGACUUUUAAUUUCUUACGUGAUCU
rnacentral:rRNA from 1 species